GAGAAUCAUAUUCUGUCAGGUCUUGGCCCAGGGUUCCUUACCUUCCUGAUGGUUCUAUGUUUCCUAGGCGGUGGGGAGGAUGGAUUACUUGGCAGGAAGGGGAGUAGCAGGAGGAAGAGCCCCAGUCCACACAGGAUGGUGAAGAUGGUAUCAGUCACCCAGGAAGUGGAACUGGAGCUCAGCCAGAUUCCAUGUGUAAAUGAAAUGAUACAGUGCAUUGUUUCUGAUCAGAAGCUGUUGCUGGUCUCUGAAGAUUAUUCUCAAGUAGUGAACACAGAGUUUCUCUUUACCUCUGGUGAUAAAGAACCAGGGGCAUAUGUGUAAUUGUUUUGUUCAUUCACUGCUUCUGCCCCUCACACGAUGGUAAUGUCUGCUCACGCUCAAGUCAGGUGCUAAGAAGGCUUGCUGGUGAGUGUGUGCACGUGUGACAGGAGCUCAGGGCCUGGUGGCCGCUGGAUGUGCUGGAUCCUUUCACUGCACAUGUCAGCGCCUGGAGGUCUUUUCUUCAAAGAAGGCACCGAUGGGGCAGUGGGAGUCUGCCUGCCAGAAUUCCAGGAGCUAGGUAGGGCGAACAUGCUGGACAGACAUGCCCUCCAGUUCCUGCUUCAGGGAGAGCCGGCCCAGCUGUCACUCCUGCCUGAGUGGCAGGAAGCCCCUGCUCCGGGCCGCCCAGGGCCUGACCACAAACACCUGCCCUCUGAGGUGGCUGCUGAACUCGAGCAGCACUGGCAGGCCUGCUCAGAGUGCAGAGAGCAGGGGGGCAGCCCAGCGUGGCAGGGAGCUCUCCAUGUCUGUCAAAGCCCCCGGUUUAACUCUCCGCUGAGAGUGACCAGUGUCUGGAGGCUCAGUAAGCAGUGGGUUCUAUUUUCUGGAACCCAAAAUAGCAGUCUCGGCAGACACCAUCACUGCCCACAUUGCUUGCAGAUCUGUGACCCCCACUGCAUGUACCUGUGGCCACAGGAGAACAUGCCCGGAGCAGGCUGCAGCCAGACUGGGCAGGAGCAGUGGGUCUGCUUCUGAGGGAGUCUGAACUCAGACACAGUCAGUCCGGAGAGAGUCAGCCAGCACUAAGCUAGUAGCCCUGCCUGUGUCCUCUUAUCACAGCUGCCUGGAGCGCUACCUGUGUGCGUCCAUUUGGAGGGGCCAUCUGCUGGGAUCUCAGUGUUGCUGCCCAUGUGGAAUGAAUACCUAUCCCCACUGCCUGCUUGUGGUUCACCCAGCACUGUGAAGUGGGUCCUAAUCAUCAGAGAAAUGCAAAUUAAAACCACAAUGAGAUAUCACCUCACACCAGUUAGGAUGGCCAACAUCCAAAAGACAAACAACAACAAAUGUUGGCGAGGAUGUGGAGAAAGGGGAACCCUCCUACACUGCUGGUGGGAAUGUAAACUAGUUCAACCAUUGUGGAAAGCAGUAUGGAGGUUCCUCAAAAAACUCAAAAUAGAAAUACCAUUUCACCCAGGAAUUCCACUCCUAGGAAUUUACCCUAAGAAUGCAACAGUCCAGUUUGAAAAAGACGUAUGCAUCCCUAUGUUUAUCGCAACACUAUUUACAAUAGCCAAGAAAUGGAAGCAACCUAAGUGUCCAUCAGUAGAUGAAUGGAUAAAGAAGAUGUGGUACAUAUACA